rnacentral:misc_RNA from 1 species
UUAAUAGUCCCUUUUGUCGGCAACGGCAAAUGUGAACCUCUCUAAUUGCUGGAAAAUCCUUAUUAGGACAAUCAGCAGCGAAGCUAUGCGAACCCAAAGGAGGUGAAAAUGAUAAGGAAAGAAGUCGAAGAAGCACCUUGGUGGAUAACGGAAACGGGAGUUAUCAUAUCAAAAAAAUUAAAGAAACCAAGAAAGACAUUUAUUACUCCACAUGGCUAUGAAAUGAUAGGAUACACGCAUCCGAAAAAAGGAACACAGAACUAUUUAGUACAUAGGUUAGUCGCAAAAUAUUUUAUUUAUGAUAUACCAAAAGGAAUGUUUGUAAACCACAUAGAUGGAAAUAAACUAAACAACCACGUUCGGAACUUAGAAAUAGUUACACCUAAAGAAAAUACUCUACAUGCAAUGAAAAUUGGAUUAAUGUCAGGACAACCUGGAGAAAGUAAUUCAAUGUCAAAGCUCACUAAUAUGGAGGCAACAAAUUUAAUCUAUGAUUUGAUUGCUGGAAUGAACAAUGUUGAAGCUGGUGAAAAAUACAGCCUUCAUCCUCGUUACGUUAGUCUAAUUCGACAUAAAAGAAGAUGGAAGACUUUAUGGGAUCGCAUAGAACGUUCAACGACUAUCGCAUAGGCGGCGAAAUUCCGCAAAACGAGUAGGGCGCAAGCUAUUGGCGUGGGUGAGAACCCCUUAAAUCGAAACGGGAGGCAUCCUACAGGGAUGAUGAUAUAGUCUGCUCCUUACGGUAACGUAAGGCGGUUGCGACAGAGCAACGAACCGAAAGUAGCGAACUCGGUUGAACUAAGGG